UGCAGUAGAAGCUGAAGUCUGGUGCUUGCACUAGACGGAUGAGUUGCGAACGGGUGAGUAACGCGUAGGUAACCUGCCUCAUAGCGGGGGAUAACUAUUGGAAACGAUAGCUAAUACCGCAUAACAGUAUUUACCGCAUGGUAGAUACUUGAAAGGAGCAAUUGCCUCACUAUGAGAUGGACCUGCGUUGUAUUAGCUAGUUGGUGAGGUAACGGCUCACCAAGGCAUCGAUACAUAGCCGACCUGAGAGGGUGAUCGGCCACACUGGGACUGAGACACGGCCCAGACUCCUACGGGAGGCAGCAGUAGGGAAUCUUCGGCAAUGGGGGCAACCCUGACCGAGCAACGCCGCGUGAGUGAAGAAGGUUUUCGGAUCGUAAAGCUCUGUUGUAAGAGAAGAACUGUGAGAAGAGUGGAAAGUUUCUCACUUGACGGUAUCUUACCAGAAAGGGACGGCUAACUACGUGCCAGCAGCCGCGGUAAUACGUAGGUCCCGAGCGUUGUCCGGAUUUAUUGGGCGUAAAGCGAGCGCAGGCGGUUUGAUAAGUCUGAAGUAAAAGGCUGUGGCUUAACCAUAGUACGCUUUGGAAACUGUCAAACUUGAGUGCAGAAGGGGAGAGUGGAAUUCCAUGUGUAGCGGUGAAAUGCGUAGAUAUAUGGAGGAACACCGGUGGCGAAAGCGGCUCUCUGGUCUGUAACUGACGCUGAGGCUCGAAAGCGUGGGGAGCGAACAGGAUUAGAUACCCUGGUAGUCCACGCCCGUAACGAUGAGUGCU
rnacentral:rRNA from 1 species